AAUUUUUUCAAAUUUCAUUAGUUUCUGCUUCUAGCUAGUGACUGAAUGUUAUUUGGAUUGUGGAUAGUGCAGGUUUUCUAAGAAGUCUGCUUGUCUGAAAUAUAUUAGCAAAAAGUUUUUUGACUAAUUGUCAUUGGUAUGAUAAUUAUUUAUGCUGUUUGAUAAUUGUCAGUUUUUGCUCUGUUAGAGUGUGUUGUUAUAUUUUGCUUCUAAUGGGUUCAUUAACUUGAACGACAAGUUUAAUU
rnacentral:misc_RNA from 1 species